rnacentral:rRNA from 1 species
GACGAACGCUGGCGGCGUGCCUAAUACAUGCAAGUUGAGCGCUGAAGGUUGGUACUUGUACCGACUGGAUGAGCAGCGAACGGGUGAGUAACGCGUGGGGAAUCUGCCUUUGAGCGGGGGACAACAUUUGGAAACGAAUGCUAAUACCGCAUAAAAACUUUAAACACAAGUUUUAAGUUUGAAAGAUGCAAUUGCAUCACUCAAAGAUGAUCCCGCGUUGUAUUAGCUAGUUGGUGAGGUAAAGGCUCACCAAGGCGAUGAUACAUAGCCGACCUGAGAGGGUGAUCGGCCACAUUGGGACUGAGACACGGCCCAAACUCCUACGGGAGGCAGCAGUAGGGAAUCCUCGGCAAUGGACGAAAGUCUGACCGAGCAACGCCGCGUGAGUGAAGAAGGUUUUCGGAUCGUAAAACUCUGUUGGUAGAGAAGAACGUUGGUGAGAGUGGAAAGCUCAUCAAGUGACGGUAACUACCCAGAAAGGGACGGCUAACUACGUG